UACGUAGGGCGCAAGCGUUGUCCGGAAUUAUUGGGCGUAAAGAGCUCGUAGGCGGCUUAUCGCGUCUGCUGUGAAAAUCCCGGGGCUCAACCCCGGGCGUGCAGUGGAUACGGGCUGGCUAGAGGCAGGCAGGGGAGAACGGAAUUCCCGGUGUAGCGGUGAAAUGCGCAGAUAUCAGGAGGAACACCGGUGGCGAAGGCGGGUCUCUGGGCAGUAACUGACGCUGAGGAGCGAAAGCGUGGGGAGCGAACAGG
rnacentral:rRNA from 1 species